CCUACGGGUGGCUGCAGUGGGGAAUUUUGGACAAUGGGCGCAAGCCUGAUCCAGCCAUUCCGCGUGCAGGAUGAAGGCCUUCGGGUUGUAAACUGCUUUUGUACGGAACGAAAAGGUUCUCUCUAAUACAGGGGGCUGAUGACGGUACCGUAAGAAUAAGCACCGGCUAACUACGUGCCAGCAGCCGCGGUAAUACGUAGGGUGCAAGCGUUAAUCGGAAUUACUGGGCGUAAAGCGUGCGCAGGCGGUGAUGUAAGACAGAUGUGAAAUCCCCGGGCUCAACCUGGGAACUGCAUUUGUGACUGCAUUGCUGGAGUGCGGCAGAGGGGGAUGGAAUUCCGCGGGUAGCAGUGAAAUGCGUAGAUAUGCGGAGGAACACCGAUGGCGAAGGCAAUCCCCUGGGCCUGCACUGACGCUCAUGCACGAAAGCGUGGGGAGCAAACAGGAUUAGAUACCCGAGUAGUCC
rnacentral:rRNA from 1 species